ACGUGCCUGGCUGGCAUUAGGGCUGCGAGCUGGCAGCUCUCAAAGGAAGUAAAAAGCCAUGAUGUACCCAUGCCAUCUGCUAUAGCUUCCAUCGCAGGGGCCAGCUGGGAUUCUGCAUCCCGUUCACACCUGAGCAUCUCAAAAAUAGGAGCUGAGUGCCUGCAGCGGCACCGUGCUAAUGCACAACAAACCAGGGACCGGAGCUUGGUCUGGUAAUGGCAUGGGAGAAAGAUCCAGGUCAUCAGUUCCACAGCUACAGAGUGGGCAGGGAGACCCACUGGCUGGUCACGGGCAGGUUGCCAAAUACUCUCUGCAGGCCGCGUGCAACACCAUCACGGACUACAUGGACCAACAUGUGGCCACUCGAGCCUUUCUUACUGCAGCUCUCGGAUGUGCACAAAGGAAGGUGGCACUAAAGCACUGGAGGAAAACGUGCCUGGCUCUUCCCCUGGGCUGUGGGCCGAGUGUGCCUGUGUUGGGAACUGAGCGCUGCCCGUCUCCCCCUGCCCAGCACAUCCCCCAUGGAAGGACAGCCCCAGGGCAGCGUGCCGUAGGGCCACGGGGACACUGCCUGACUUCUUACCCUCCUCGCUGCUCAGUUUUGCCCACCCACCUGCUCUUGGUUUUUGCCACGGAGUAG
rnacentral:lncRNA from 1 species